AAAGUCGUAACAAGGUAACCGUAGGUGAACCUGCGGUUGGAUCAUUACUGAGAACGAUCGUUAGUUUGCUACGUUUCGUUUCCCACCUCUUGUGAACUGUACUGUCUCUGGCGGUGGGGUGCGGUGGACUCUGGCCAUGAGGCGAGUCCCUUCACCUGUCAGCUUGUGGGGACGUUGUUUUUGACCCACCUGCCGUGGACAAGCCGCCAAAUGCAUAUCCAUACCUUGUAAUCUUAACAUCACUGUCUUAUUAUGUGCAUCUGACAUAACACCUUGACAACUUUUGGCAACGGAUCUCUUGGCUCUC
rnacentral:misc_RNA from 1 species